GUUUUUUAAAUUACACAAAUUCAAAUUCAAAAUAUUUAUAGUCGGCGCGGCGAACCUUGAUCCCUAUGACACUGACAGCUAAUGUCACCAUAUAACAUUGUAGUGGCGUCACCAUUAAAUUGGGAUCAUAUUGGGGGCGUCUACAAAUGCC